CCAGUAUUAUCUGGAAUGAAUGUACAGCAUGUCAUGGUCUCGGGGAGGAUUUUACAUACGCCCCCCUUUUCUGCUAAAAUCAUAUCCAGAGCCAUUCUAUAUUGAAAUGUCAUUUGGGUGGUAGCUUGCUAGGCCCUGUAGGGCAUCUCCAGUAUAGUUAACAAACCGCUGUUGGUUGUAAUAGAUAUAAUUAAUCCAAUUAACA